AGAGUUUGAUUCUGGCUCAGGAUGAACGCUAGCGACAGGCUUAACACAUGCAAGUCGAGGGGCAGCGGGGGAGUAGCAAUACUCCCGCCGGCGACCGGCGCACGGGUGAGUAACACGUAUGAAACCUGCCCGUAGCAGGGGGAUAAGCGGAAGAAAUUCCGUCUAAUACCGCGUAACAACCCGAGGAGGCAUCUCCUCGGGUUUAAAGGGAGCGAUUCCGGCUACGGAUGGUCAUGCGUCGCAUUAGCUUGUUGGCGGGGUAACGGCCCACCAAGGCGACGAUGCGUAGGGGUUCUGAGAGGAAGGUCCCCCACACUGGUACUGAGACACGGACCAGACUCCUACGGGAGGCAGCAGUGAGGAAUAUUGGUCAAUGGCCGCAGGGCUGAACCAGCCAAGUCGCGUGAGGGAUGACGGUCCUAUGGAUUGUAAACCUCUUUUGUCAGGGAGCAAAGGGCGCCACGUGUGGCGUUUUGCGAGUACCUGAAGAAAAAGCAUCGGCUAACUCCGUGCCAGCAGCCGCGGUAAUACGGAGGAUGCGAGCGUUAUCCGGAUUUAUUGGGU
rnacentral:rRNA from 1 species